rnacentral:rRNA from 1 species
CCCAUGCGCACGCAUGGAUGGCAGAAAAGUAAGGUGACGCGUGCGCGUCAACCACGCAUAUGCGUGAGUGCGUUUUGUGCUCCUCGCACAAAACCAGCACAAUUCCAGUGCAACUCUUUAGAUUUCCUACUGGGCAUUUGCAUCAGUGCAACGACGCGUGCGCGUCGGUUAGGUGCUCGCGUGGGUGAGUAAAAAUCGAGACUGACGCGUGCGCAUCGGCCACGCGUGUGCGUGGAAGCAUGAUUCUCCAAAAUUUUUACUAAGUUAAAAAGCUGCAGAAUUACAUUUUCAAACCCCAAACUUCUAACACACAUAACUUCUUCUAAAAAAUUCCUUUUUCAACCAUUUCUGAACCGUUGGAAAGAUCGUUGAAUAAACUUUCAUAAAAAUCCAAUUUUGAAAAAUUUUAAACCCUGUGGACCGAAUUACGGACCGCCAAAGUUGGUCAAAAAUAAGUUUUUACCCAAAAAUAGAAAUCACCAAUUUUUCCAAUGUUCACAAGCCAAAUUUAUUUUCACUCAUCCAAAUGACCACAACCGAACCACAUUCACAUAUUACACUCAACCAAAACCAAACAUACCCCAUCUACACAAUAUCACCCAAAACUAUCAAAUUCCACACCUCAAUUCCUCAAACCUUAUUAUUCAAUAACCAACCAAUUAUUUACACAUUCAAUAUCUAAAAUCUAUCCAAUCUCUUAUAUCAUCACAUAAUACACACAUCAACUUACCCUCCUUACCUCUUCCAGCCUCCAGCCCAAGAUUCACGGCCUCCGGCCCAAAUUCACAAUUUAAAUGCAUAUUCCACAAACCAAUAUUGAUUAUCCAAUUCAUCAAAUUUUCAACACACCAAACAUACAAAUUCACACAAUUCUCAAUCCAAUCAUUAAUUCACAUUACAUAUCAACUAUGCAUAUUAGUACCAACCAUUUUCACAAUCCAAACUUAUCCUAAGGGCAUCUAGCCUAGGAAUUCUCAUCACACCACACGAUACUUAAAUUAAACUUAAACCGUACCUCUUAUAGCCAAAAUAAUUGAGCUUCUUCUUGAGAGUCUCCACCAACCCUUAGCUCUAAGCCUCACCAAGGCUCCACAAGCAACACCAACCUCCCAAUUGUGCACCAAAAUUACCAAAUACACUAACAUAACCAAUUUCACAUAUAUACAUCAACUUAGGGUUCAUAAAAAUGAUAAAUCACAAAAUUUAGAGGGUUCCUUACCUUAACCCAUAAAAUUUUGUGAUGAAUAUCACUAAUGGCUCAUACUAGAGCACUCCUAAACAACCAAAAUCACAAGAUUUCCUCAAAACCCAAACCAAAUUCGAAGUAUAAGAGGAAUAUCAAAACUGGGCAGAGGAGAGUUAGAUACUCACCACAAAACUUAGAAAGACUCGAAGAGGAGGAGAAAAGCAACGCGUGGCCGCAAAUGGCUCGUCAAUCAAAGUUCCAGAGAGAAAGUUAUAACGAUUUGAAGAUCAAAGAGAGUUAGGGUUUCUCUCUUCUCAUCUCUCUUUUUUCAUUUCAGCAGCAAAAACCACACUAAAUGAGGGUUGUGGUAGCUGAAUGGCUUUAAGUUAAGGCUUAUAUAUGCUGGGCUUGGAUCCACUUGGGCCCAAUUCACUUGGUUUAGUCCGUUGGCCCAACUUUGGGCCAAAACCUUUAAGAUUAACGCUUUAAAUCGCAUUUUAAAUAUUUCUAUCUUCCCUAAUUAUAAAUCCUAAUUUCUUAACCUUAUUUAUUUAUAAUAAGUUUUCUCAGCUGUAGUACCAGACAGAUCUCAGCCGUACUACCGGUCAAAGUUCCAGUGCACGUUUUUACGCAGAAAACUAUGUUUUCCGACUCUGAAAAAUUCACUGAAUCCAAAUAUCACAUUUAAAUUAUCAAAUUUCGAUUGCAAAUUUCUACCCAUAUUCGCUCCUAUUACAUUAAUAUACAUUUAAAUACAUUAAAUAUUCUAAACUAAAUAUUAAAUAUAAUAAUAUAUAAAUAAGAUUAUUUAGUAAGAUAAAUAUGAAAUAUAAAAAUAAAACAUGGAAAUAAUAUAUGUAUAUAUAUAUAUAUAUAUAUAUAUAUAUAUAUAUAAUAUAUAUAUAUAUAUAAAAGAUAUAAAAAAUAUAAAUAAUUAAUAAGAACUAAAAAAAAAGAGUGUUUUUUAAAUUAAGAACGCCCUGUGAGCCAAGGGACAGUCUCAGGUAGACAGUUUCUAUGGGGCGUAGGCCUCCUAAAAGGUAAUGGAGGCGUGCAAAGGUUUCCUCGGGCCAGACGGAGAUUGGCCCUCAAGUGCAAAGGCAGAAGGGAGCUUGACUGCAAGACUCACCCGUUGAGUAGGGACGAAAGUCGGCCUUAGUGAUCCGACGGUGCCGAGUGGAAGGGUCGUCGCUCAACGGAUAAAAGUUACUCUAGGGAUAACAGGCUGAUCUUCCCCAAGAGCUCACAUCGACGGGAAGGUUUGGCACCUCGAUGUCGGCUCUUCGCCACCUGGGGCUGUAGUAUGUUCCAAGGGUUGGGCUGUUCGCCCAUUAAAGCGGUACGUGAGUUGGGUUCAGAACGUUGUGAGACAGUUCAGUCCAUAUCCGGUGUGGGCGUUAGAGCAUUGAGAGGACCUUUCCCUAGUACGAGAGGACCGGGAAGGACGCACCUCUGGUGUGCCAGUUAUCGUGCCCACGGUAAAUGUUGGGUGGCCAAGUGCGGAGCGGAUAACUGCUGAAAGCAUCUAAGUAGUAAGCCCACCCCAAGAUAAGUGCUCUCCUAUUCCGACUUUCCCAGAGCCUCCGGUAGCACAGCCGAAACAGCGAUGAGUUCUCUGCAUAUAUAUAUAUAAUUAUAUAAUAUUUCUUCUUAGGCUAAAUUAAUCAAUUUAUCCCUCUUUAUCAUAACAUGUCAACUAUCAAGAUU